rnacentral:rRNA from 1 species
GGGUCAGUAGGUUGGUCGUGCCACCGGUACGUACUGGUCUCACUGAUUCCUCCUUCCUGAAGAACCGUAAUGCCAUUAAUUUGGUGUUGCGGGGAAACAGGACUGUUACUUUGAAAAAAUUAGAGUGUUUAAAGCAAGCUAACCCUUGAAUACAUUAGCAUGGAAUAAUGAAAUAGGACGAUCGAUCCUAUUUUGUUGGUUUCUAGGAUUGACGUA